UACGUAGGGACCAAGCGUUGUUCGGAUUUACUGGGCGUAAAGGGCGCGUAGGCGGCGUGACAAGUCACUUGUGAAAUCUCUGGGCUUAACCCAGAACGGCCAAGUGAUACUGUCGCGCUAGAGUGCGGAAGGGGCAAUCGGAAUUCCCGGAUGUAGCGGUGAAAUGCGCAGAUAUCGGGAAGAACACCCGUGGCGAAGGCGGUUCUCUGGGACGGUACUGACGCUGAGACGCGAAAGCGUGGGGAGCGAACAGG
rnacentral:rRNA from 1 species